CCUGCAUUUCUGAUUGGCUGUCGCUGGCUACAUCCAAGGUGGGAUUGUCAUGGCAACCAUUUUCAACAAAACGCAGCUCCUCACCAUGUGACUGGAAGAAAAGAGGGGGAAACAGGAAGUAACAGGGGAAUAGAGUUAAGAAAUCUGGCUGGAAAUGACAUGAGUGUUUUGUGAACAGAAAGUCACAUUCUGCUCCAGAAAAGGGACAUCAAGGAAGACCUGGAGAUAAGUCCAGACCAUGGAGUUGGUAGUCUGAGUGGCCAGCUUCGAUCCUGAGGUCAACGGGAUCAAGAUGUCUGCUGGUUCCAAAGCCAAGACUUGAGCCGUAGGCUCUGUAGGCAAGUCCGUCUCAGGCAUCGAGAUGGCCAGCCCCACAGGGGAAGAAACAGGCUGUGAGCCCAAGACGGGUGGGGAACCAGCAGCCGCCGUUUGCAUGGCCUUAGCUGGAGCUAAAGAUUUUGUUUUGGCAGAAUGCGAGGACUUCAAAGCUUGCUCCCAAAGCCAAGACUUGAGUCUCAAGGCACGGUUUUUCCUGGCCUGUUUAGUAAACUUGGAGCAAUGAGCACAGGACUCAACUUUGUGAGCCUCUCCGAGACAAAAUAAGCAGUGGUCGUGCCCGACUGUAGAGGAAAUCUUGGUGCUACAAUGGACACACUGCUUGAAUUUAGUGGUCUUGGCCACAGACUGUAAAAGAACGAAAAAAUGCCAAUCCCAAAGGGCAAGGCAUGUGUGUGUGAGGGGAAUACUGAGGAAGAAAUAAAAAUGCUAAUGAAGGGGAGAGAAACUGUAAACUUAAAUGAGGGAAGGAAUACAAUAAGGGUUAAGGAAGGGAUAGAUUUUACUUAGCAAAAUCUAGCUCUGAGAAAACUCCAACCGUGUUGAUCUGUCUGCGAAUGGAGAAAGAAUGAGGAGGGAAGCCUGUAGGAAUGUGCACGGAUCGGUUCGGAGGCCAUUCUAAAGGCCUCCAGACCGGUCCGGUCACGGGGUGGUUUUGGUUCGGG